UAGGGUAUUUCAUGGAUUUGCCUGGGGUUAGAAGUGAAGUGAAGUGAAUAGAAAUGGAAGAUAAUAUUAAAAAGUAAAAAAACUGAAUAGAAAGAACUGAAAAAAGUGGAGAAAAGACUGAAUAAGAAAUUAAAAAGAAGCAAAACAAUAUAUAUGAGACACAAUUUAAAAUUGGACAACAUCCACUCAAAUCCUUUCCCAAACCUUCAUCUUAUGUUUAUAAAAACCUGCUUGUACAGUUAUUUAUAAGCAAGUCAUUGCAUUUAGAUAGAAGAUCCCCUUCAUAGAGAAAAUUUGAUCUUCCAUAAGAUGAAUCUUCUCCUCAUGAUUUAAAUAUUUUACAUAUGUUCUCCUCCCAUCAUCAGCAGAUAUGCAAAUACAAGCAUCAUGGCUAAACAUCACUCUAUUUAUGUGAUGCAACGGUCAAACUCUGUUAAACCUUGGAGAACAGAGAAGACCCCAGUGCAAACAACGGCCACCAUGUUCUCUACAUCUCUACUGCUCCUGCUGGCAGCUGCUUCCUAUGUGCAUGGUGUGGAACUGACUCAGCCUGCUUCCAUGACAGUCCAGCCAGGCCAGAGUCUCUCCAUCAACUGCAAAGUUUCAUAUUCAGUUACAAGCCAUCAUUCAGCUUGGAUCCGACAACCUGCAGGAAAAACUCUGGAAUGGAUUGGAUACAUCACUACUGGUGGGAGCACAGCUUACAGUGACAAACUGAAAAAUAAGUUCAGUUUCUCCAGAGACACGUCUACUAACACAAUAACAAUUCGAGGACAGAACAUGCAGACUGAAGACACAGCUGUGUAUUACUGUGCUCGUUACCCCCACAGUGAGACACAUCACCAACAUCCCUGUACAAAAACAUCCUGUACAGAAAACUGUUUCAGGAAAAGCAGAAAUACAGCAUUUUAUCAUUUUGGUGUGUUGUGUCCACUGUUGAUGAAUCAACAUGACACAAGUCCUAAAUGAAUACUGCUCAUCAUUUAUUAAAUCUGAUGAACUAUAUCCAAGCACAAGUGCCAACUCUCAACAUACUCCUUAAUUUAAAUGCUAUAGUAACUGCAGUGCAGGAGUAUCAUGGAUUAGCAGUAUUAUUUGACAGUCCAUAUCUGAUUACUUCUUCACCAGGAUUCUUCUUCACCUCCAUCUCCAUCAAUUGUUUGACAGGAUGAAGAAGUUAUCAUUAUGUGUAACUUGCUGAUUUUUUUUUACUUGGAUUAUUUUGAAACCUCAAAUUAAAUUAAUCUAAACACUGGACUGUAAAUGAAACAGUUUAGUCCACAUGUGAACACAAUAUGGAACGAUAGGGGGCGCUGUUGUACUGUGUUUCUCCUUAGUGUUAUAUAAUUUUUGCUUUUCAGUUUUGAAGUCAUAUAAAACACCAUCAGCGAGUACAUGUCAUUCUCAUGUAAUUUAUUAAUAGAAGAACAAAGUAAAGUAAGGAAGCAGUUUCAAU